UACGGGGGGGCAAGCGUUGUUCGGAAUUACUGGGCGUAAAGGGCUCGUAGGUGGCCCACUAAGUCCGACGUGAAAUCCCUCGGCUUAACCGGGGAACUGCGUCUGAUACUGGAUGGCUUGAGUUUGGGAGAGGGAUGCGGAAUUCCAGGUGUAGCGGUGAAAUGCGUAGAUAUCUGGAGGAACACCGGUGGCGAAGGCGGCAUCCUGGACCGAUACUGACGCUGAGGAGCGAAAGCCAGGGGAGCAAACGGG
rnacentral:rRNA from 1 species